UACGAAGGGUGCGAGCGUUAAUCGGAAUUACUGGGCGUAAAGGGUGCGUAGGCGGUUUGGUAAGUCUUAUGUGAAAUCUACAGGCUCAACUUGUAGUCUGCAUGAGAAACUGCCGGGCUUGAGUAUGGGAGAGGUGAGUGGAAUUCCUGGUGUAGCGGUGAAAUGCGUAGAUAUCAGGAGGAACACCUGUGGCGAAAGCGGCUCACUGGACCAUAACUGACGCUGAUGCACGAAAGCUAGGGGAGCAAACAGG
rnacentral:rRNA from 1 species